rnacentral:rRNA from 1 species
GAUGAACGCUGGCGGCGUGCCUAAUACAUGCAAGUCGAGCGAACAGAUAAGGAGCUUGCUCCUUUGACGUUAGCGGCGGACGGGUGAGUUACACGUGGAUAACCUACCUAUAAGACUGGGAUAACUUCGGGAAACCGGAGCUAAUACCGGAUAACAUAUUGAACCGCAUGGUUCAAUAGUGAAAGGCGGCUUUGCUGUCACUUAUAGAUGGAUCCGCGCCGUAUUAGCUAGUUGGUAAGGUAACGGCUUACCAAGGCAACGAUACGUAGCCGACCUGAGAGGGCGAUCGGCCACACUGGAACUGAGACACGGUCCAGACUCCUACGGGAGGCAGCAGUAGGGAAUCUUCCGCAAUGGGCGAAAGCCUGACGGAGCAACGCCGCGUGAGUGAUGAAGGUCUUCGGAUCGUAAAACUCUGUUAUCAGGGAAGAACAAAUGUGUAAGUAACUGUGCACAUCUUGACGGUACCUGAUCAGAAAGCCACGGCUAACUACGUG